rnacentral:RNase_P_RNA from 1 species
UCGGUCGGCCAGGCGGCCGCGUCGCGGCGGUGGCCCCCGGGCCCCUGCCGCGCCGAGGAACGUCCGGGCUCCGCAGAGCAGGGCGGUGGAUAACGUCCACCCGGGGCAACCCGCGAGAAAGUGCAACAGAGAGCAGGUCCACCUGCCGGGGUCUCGAUCCCGGCAGGCCAGGAGUGAAACGGUGGGGCAAGAGCCCACCAGCGUCGCGUGCGAGCGCGGCGGCUAGGCAAACCUCGCCCGGAGCAAGACCAGACAGCGGAUCACGGGGCUGCUCGUCCCAUCCGCGGGUAGGUCGCUAGAGGGCUGCAGCGAUGCAUCCCCGAGAGAGAUGGCCGUCCACGACAGAACCCGGCGUAUCGGCCGGCCGGUUCG